UUUUUUUUUUUUUAAUGGCUUAGGUCAGUCUAGAUGUUAUCUGUUACCACUCUAUGAGGCAACAACAAACAUCUAUAUUGGAAUAUCUUCCAUCUCUUCUUUGCCUGCCUCUCCAGAGAGUCCUCUGAGAUUUUCCUCUUUUUUCUUCCUUCCAUCCCCUUGUGAGCAACCACUAGGAAAGGGAAGGCUGCUAUACUCUGGCAGAACUCUUAGAUCCCUGUAUCCCACCCUCUCUCCUUAGGGACCACACUGAAGGGAGCCUAUAGACACCAGUCACUCUUGACUUUCCACACUGUGACCUUGAUGAAUCCUUUCAGAUGAAUGCUGGUGUGCAAUUUGCUUUCUCCUUUUCAUGCAGACAUGUCCUCUAAUCCACGGAAUAACGCCACCCACAUUUACCGUGGGUUUCCCCAUCUCAAUUAAUUUAAUCUAGAGAAAUCUCACGGACAAGCCUAAAGGCUGGUCUCCUACAUGAUUCCAGAGCCUUUCAAAUUAACAAUCUUAAGAAGCACAAGAAUUAUCUCAGCCAAUUAAUUAAUUUUUAGAAGGACAGAGUCAACAUGUCAGCAUUUUGCAACUCUGAUAAACUAAUGGAUCCAGAUAUACAUUCCCAAUUACUAUUCACGACGCAACAAAUUUUGUACAUCUGACAGAAUUACAUCACCUAGGAACUACUUGUUCCACAUAUGCCCACUAGUUGGGAUACUCAAACUUACAAACAACAUCUUAAAAAAUUAGGAAACAAAGUGAUCAACGAACACCUGUGUUCAAACGCCUCACUCCACCCAGGGCAGAGCUCUGAGGCUCCUGGUGCUGCAGGCAAAGGCCAGAGACCAGCUCACAGGGAACUAACUUCCUCCAGGAGGCUGAGGAAGAAGAGGAAGUGCCUCUUCCAUGUAACCUUGGAAACCGGGGGAGGCAUUCUGGGGAGGCUUUCCCUUAGCACCACCCUUAAUCUGCUCUGGCAGCCUCAGAGGCGGAGCAACCCAGACUCCUGCAUAGCAGCGGUGACGGUGGUAGGGGCAGGGAGCUAACGGUGGAGUCGCUCUGCCCCUUUGGUCUGCAUCACUCAAGGAGGGGGAGGGAACGGCCAUCAUGCUGUCCUGGCUUCCGCGGCUCAGUGCCGGCCGCUGCGCUCAGCGUAGAGCCCGGUGCUGGCACGUGCCAGGGCGACGGUCCCUGGUUCUUGAUCCUGAAGGGGCUCUUCCUUGUCACAAGCUCUUUUGGCUGAAUUCUUGUGACGAUUUUGUUUUGCACGGACCUCUUCAAGAUGGGGUGGCUGCGGCACCCUCCGGGACCAGAAAAUCCAAGGUGAGGAGAGCAUUCCACUGCCAGGUUCCCUGUAGCACGGAAGGGUAAUCAAUUGGAAAAUUCGGGCAUGGGGAGAAGGAUUUCUUCUUUAAAAGAAGCACUCUUCCUUUCCUCAGGGAUUUCCAUUUCAAUUUAUAAUCACCCAUUGAUUUCCUGGUGUUUUUUUUUUUUUAAUUUCCUGAUGUACAAGCAGUUUGUUUCCUUCCUGCUCCUUGUUAUCGCUAUCCCGAGAGAUCCUGCUGUAUUUCAGACAUUUACACAGUGACGCGAUGAAGAGGACCUGAUAAAGGGAAGAGUCAAGGAGUUAUAUCGUGUUGACUCAGCUCCAUAGUCAAAGGAGGGUUGAAUAAGGUCCUUCUUACAGCCCUGUGAAAUGUUUAAUGCUCAAUGAUUCUGAAAGGUAGUUGUUUAUUACCAAAAUGUUUCAUUUGCUUACUGAGUUCCAGGCAUUUGCCUAAGCUCCCGAUUCUGUCACUUAAGCUUCUUCCUGAGCUGAGUUCCUUCAUUAUCUUAUUCUACAGGUGAGGAAACGGAAGGCACAAGGAUUAAGUAGUCUUCAGAGUUAGUAAAGCCUAAGAUUUUAGAUAAAGCCUGAAUGUUCCUCCAUUCAUGUGCGACUGUAGUUAUGUUUGUUUUCAUGUGCACAUGGAUGACUUUUCAGCUUCCAACAGAAUGAGUUUUACAGCUCUACAAAUCUCUAGGUCCAACACCCACUCGUACACUUAGAGAACUUAAUGGUUUCUGUAAGAGUUUUAUGCUGGGGUUUUUGUUUGCUUUUUGAUUCUUCUGAUUACUUAAAGUUGUUGAAGUUAUACUUGUUAAUUUUAGAAGUAUGGUUGCCUUGAAUGUUGAGCGUGUUUUUGUUUUAGGCAGAUGUUGUGUUUCUUUUGGGGGACACACUGGAUGCAUGGGUUACAGAAGUCGAUCAUAUGACAACUGCUUCAGCUGGAGAUGUUGCCCGGAGAAGAUCUCAUCACAUUUGCCAAGAAGCAAAUGAUGCUACUACAGAGAGUAAAGCAAGGUGCACAGAUCAGCAGCAGAAUAUCUGAAUACUCUGGAGAUUGCUAGAUGAAAACAUAAGGAGUGAAUUUCAAACUAUAACUACAGAGAAGGACCUUCUGAACAAGAAUGCAGUCGCUUGGGAAAUAAACAAGAUUUGAUGCAUAAGCCAACAUAACACUUAGAAGCUUCUGCACAGGCUUCAUGGUUCCAGCUAAUGCAUCAAAUACAGUAAUGAAAA